rnacentral:tRNA from 1 species
UCUUAAAUAGCUUAAAUUUAGAGCAUGGUAUUGAAGAUACCAAGGUAAUAAGAAUAUUUUUAAGAAA